UUCUCUAUUUUUAUUUCCACUCUUAUUAGAACGAAAUUUUCAUUUCUUAUUCCCAAAUUUACAAGUCCCACGUAAAAUGCAUUCUAAUUCUUUAAUGCUUGUAUCAAGUAAACACAAUUAAUAAUUCCAAUUUCCCGACUAACUUCCCAUCCGAGAAAAAGAAUGCAUCCUAAGUUUAGAUAUUGAGAAUUGAUGAAGAAUGAAAAACUUAGGCAAGAUUCUAAAUUUUGCAAAAAAAAGCACUGUACGUACUUUUAUUGAAUGGCUGAAUUUUGAAGAAAAAAUGACACCAUACUUUUAUUGAAUCGCACAUAAUUAAAUGAGUAUUAGGUGCAUGGGAUUAUAGAGAAUUAAUUGAAGAAGCAGAUAUUAUAGUCAAAAAUUGUAAAAGUCGCAAUAUUUGACUACUUACAAUCAAAACCUGCAAUAUCCCAUUGGACAUCAUUUUAGUUUAACUAAGGGUUUUUUUUUUUUUAAAUAAGAAAGUAAGCUUUUCAUCAUUCAUUCAACAUUCAUGUACAUUUUGAACUUCUGUUGGUAUUUUUUCUAAUCAGAUAGUGGAUGUAUUUCUUUUUAAAGCAAAUUUAGCUAAUGAAUGGGCACAAGCAUUACAAUAUUUAAGAACAUAUUGAACUCUUAACAUUUUAGAAGUACCUUCUUUAGUUUUGGAUUUAUGAAAUUAUCCAAAAAUUAUUUUGCAGCCCUUUGUAUUGUUUAUUAACUUAGCCACUUCUUGGUAAACUUCUUGGCAAUCUGUUUCAAUGUUCAAUGGAGAUAUUUCUGCCUCUCUUGCCACCUGUAAUCCCCACUCUAUAGUUUCAGCUUCUAUAAAUUGACAUUUCUCCUUAGUUAAGUCUGUUUGAUACCAGUAGCUAUCACUUUGGCAUAUGAGUCUUUUACAACAGCUCCUCAACCUCUCAUUUGGUCUUUGCUGCUUAUGAUUGCAUCAACAUGAUUUUGAAGGCAUUUUUGGGAGGGGAGAUCCACUUCUGCUGCUUCUCAUUUUUAGCAUUAGCAAUGUGUGAUGGUCCUGGUUUGCUUAAUCUUUGGUAUUCUUCUAAUGCUGAUUAUGCCUCAGCUGCUGAGAUACUUGGAUAUAUUUUCUUGUUUUAAAAAAGAAAUUUAUUUCUUUCAUACCACGCAACCCAAUAAUAUGCCACCGUAAGCUCAAUAUCAACUUUUCUCAGAUUGUUGCACAUGUCUUGGACAGUUUUGAGAAUGUCCUGAGUUGGAGUAUUAGGCUUUUAACUUUAAAAAGAGCUUUAAACCAUAUCUUUUUUACUACUUUAGAGUCCAAAAGAGGAUGGCCUAUGGUUUUCACACUCUUUUUACAUCCUUGACACAUUGCUCUUGUAAAAUCUUUCUUUUCCAUAGGUUAUCAGUUGUUGACAAUAAGAUAUUUGUUGCCCUCCGCGUGAAGAUUUUGAUCUUUUUAGGUAACUAAAGUUGACCAUAAAAGGUUAUAUUGUUUAUAAUAACUCUCUGAACUGUUGGAAACGUUUGGAAAUUUGAUCUUAAGGGCUAGCUAAUAACCACUUUACUCUAAUGGUGCGUUUACUUACAGGAUUGGAGAAUCAGAAUCCAGAAUUAGAAUGAUUGAUGGUGUUUACUUCGUACAUAUAGAGCAGGAAUCGGAAUUGGAAUGAUGGGGUCUACCACUAUUUGGGAAUGAGGAAUGAGAGAUUGAUUCCCAUGGGAGAGGUAGGAAUUAGUCUCUCAUUCUCGGGAUUGACCAUUUUACCCUCCCCCAAAAUUGAGAAUACCCACUUUGUCCUCUUUUAUAAUUAAUUAAUAUAAUAUUAUAAUUAAUUAAUAUAUUAUGAUUAAUUAAUUAAUUAAUAUAUUAUUAACUAUAAUUAUUAAAGGGAAAAUUAUCAGCCAUAUACUCUUAAAUGACACUAGUAUCAAACGUGUUACAACACUUUUCGCUUAUAUCACUCGUAUACCCUAAGUUGACAAAAGAGUUUUGGCGUCCACCUUUCCGUUUACUACCGUUAAGAACUUAACAGAAUUUGAGCAAAAUGACUAUUUUACCCUUUAAACUCAAAAUGAGGUAAAAAAAUAAAUUUACCUUGAAAAUUAAUGUAAAUUUUCAAUACACAAUUUUUUUUAUUUUGUUAUUAACAAUACAUUUUUUUAUUAAAAAAAUAUGAAUUAUUAAUGGUACAUAUUAUUAACAAUUAUCUAUAAAAAUAUCCAUCUUAUACCAUAAAAAAUUAUUAACAACAUAUUAUUUACAAUUAUACAUAUUAUACCAUAAAAAAUUCAAGUUUGAGCUUGGAGGAGUAGAUCUUCAAUAAUUUAGGUUAAAUUUUGGAGGAGUAGAUUCGGUUGUAAAAUAGCUUUUUUUUAGUAAUUAUUAACAAUUAUUCGAUAAAUGGGAUGACAUGUCAUAUUUAUCAAAAUAUAUCAUAUGACAUGUCGUGUUUUACUAGGUAAAUGGGAUGACAUGUCGUUUUUUUUAAAAAGACUAGAUUACCCUUAUGAUGUCAGCGCUCGCAAACGGCAGUUAACGGAUUGGUGGACGGCAGAAGUGUUUUGUCAACUUAGGGUAUACGAGUGAUACACUUGAAAAGUAUUGUACCACGUUUGAUACUGGUGUCAUUUAAGGGUAUAUAGCUGAUAAUUUCCCUUAUUAAAAAUUAUAGUUCUUGAAUAAAUAAUCACAAUAAUUAAUAU
rnacentral:lncRNA from 1 species